GGUGUCAUGGCGGCCUCCCUUCCUGAAGGUGUGCCGGAGACUGAGGACGGAAAGAGACCGCAGUUCGGGAGCCGGUUCCUGAGCGACCCGGCGCGCGUCUUCCACCACAAUGCCUGGGACAACGUGAAGUGGUCAGAGGAGCAGGCCGCGGCGGCGGAGAGGAAAGUGCAGGAGAACAGUUCCGAGCUGGUGUGCCCGGAGAAGCAAGUUAAAGGACCAGUUAGCCCAAGUGCAGUGGUGUAUACCUGUAGAGUCAGCUACGUGGGAGGCUGAGACAGAAGGAUCACUGAAUUGGAGGCCAUCCUGGGCAGCAUAGGGUGACCUAGUCUCCAAAAAAAUUAAACUUGGACCACAGGGACUUAAGUGCUUUGCCUAGAGUUGAUUAUGAAGUCAAUGCUCAUAAAUACUGGGAUGACUUUUACAAAAUCCAUGAAAAUGGGUUUUUCAAGGAUAGACACUGGCUUUUUACUGAGUUCCCUGAACUGGCACCUAGCCACGAUCACCUGACGGAUUUACCCUCGGGAAAGCAGAGGAGUGAAGUCUGUCAGGAUGGACCUGGCUGGACAGCAGGACAGCACAAGUGUUCUUGUACCUGCCGUGGAUGUGAGACCCGGGUGCCUCCCGUGGAAGAGCCAGUGACUCAGAGGCUCAGUCACCUACAAAUUCGUGCUGAUGAAUUUCCUGGCUCCUCUGCCACCUACAGAAUACUUGAGGUUGGUUGUGGUGUAGGAAACACAGUCUUUCCAAUUUUGCAAACUAACAAUAACCCAAACCUCUUCGUUUACUGUUGUGACUUUUCUGCCACAGCAAUUGAACUGCUCAAGGCAAAUUCAGAAUAUGACCCUUCGCGCUGUUUUGCCUUUGUUCAUGAUCUCUGUGAUGAAGAUGAGAGUUACCCAGUGCCUGAGGACAGUCUUGAUGUCAUCGUUCUUAUAUUUGUUCUUUCAGCGAUUGUUCCGGACAAGAUGCAGAAAGCUAUCAGCAAGCUGAGCAGACUCCUGAAGCCUGGAGGAGUGAUGCUUCUUCGAGACUAUGGCCGCUAUGACAUGGCUCAACUUCGGUUUAAAAAAGGUCAGUGUCUAUCUGGAAACUUCUAUGUGAGAGGUGAUGGCACCAGAGUUUACUUCUUCACACAAGAUGAGCUGGAUGCACUCUUCACUGCUGCGGGUCUGGAAAAGGUGCAGAGCCUGGUGGAUCGCCGCUUGCAGGUGAAUCGCGGGAAACAGCUGACCAUGUACCGCGUCUGGAUUCAGUGCAAAUACAGAAAGCCUCUUGAGCACAGCGCCAGCCGGCAUGUGCCCAUUCCCUGCACGACAUAAAUUCAGGCUUUUGUAAGAAGACAUCUAUAAAUGGUGCCUUGUUGAUUGUGAGCAGUCUGGGGAUUCAAGUAGCUCAAAGUUUGAGCCUAGGAGCAAUUAUUUUCUGUUAACAUUAACAAUUAUGGUUUUUAGCUAGGUACGAUGCCACACGCCUUUAAUCCCAGCGCUCAGGAGGCAGAGGCAGACAAAUCUCUGAGUUUGGGGACUGCCAGUGCUACACAGAGAAACCCUGUCUCCAAAAACAAACAAAGGGUGGCUUUUAUUUGUAAAACCCAUUAAUGCGUAUUUUCUGGAGUUCAUUUUAUUGUUAAUAUCAUUGUCUAGUGGGGCAAUGCUGUGGAGAAUGUGGGGAGCUGAGAGGACACCUUGCAGGAGUCGGUUCUCUCCUACGUGUUGGCCUGGAAUUCAGACUCAGGCUUGGCAGCAAAUACCUCGUGCUUUUGACAGCCCUCAAAUUUUUAAUGACUAGAGUUUUAUAUAUAGGAAAACUCACUCUGUGACCAAAAAUGACCUUGAAGUUUAGAUCCUCCUGCCACCAUAUUGCAAAGUGGUGGUCCACACCUUUAAUCCUGCCACUCAGAAGCUUGAGACAGGUGGAUCUCUGAGUUCAGGGCCAGCCUAGUCUACAGAUCGAGUUCCAAGAUAAGCACAGCUUCAGAGAAACCCUGUCUUGAAGGGAAGAAAAGGAAAAUAAGAAAGGGUAAAAAGUAUGCUAACACAUUUGUUUUGAGAGGUAAGAAUUUAAAACCAAGCCUGGCCGAGUGUAAUGGCUCACAGCAGGAGCCCCUGCAGGUAGACAGCUGAGGUGUAAGGAUCCCAGUAAGAUCAAGGGCAGCCUGAGCUACAAUGUAAAACCGUGGAUUUGACUCAGUGGCAGAGCAUAAGCCCUGGAACCAGAUACAUGGUAUUAGAUUAAUCUAAUCCUAGCAUGUGGGAGUCUGAGAUAGGAGAACUGCCUUAAAUUCAAGGCCAGACCAGGCUACAUAGUGAAAGCCUACCUCAUAUUUCCAUGAGAGCUGGUUCAGCUUAAUCCUGUGGGCACGGGUAGAAGUGAUGCUGUGUUCCAUUGCAUGGUACUGGGUCAUGGGUACCUUUUAAUAUCUCCAUUAUUGGGACUAGAAAGAAGGCUCAGCAGGUUUAGGCACUUGCUGCCCAGCAUGACAACCUGAGUUCAUGCCCCCAAGACCCACAUGGUGGAAGAAGAGGACUGUCAUGUGCUAUAGCAUCUGUGUGUCCUCAGACAUACACACCAAAAUAAAAUAAUUUUUUAUGUCU